rnacentral:tRNA from 1 species
GGAGGGAUGGCCGAGUGGUUGAAGGCGGCGGUCUUGAAAACCGUUUCACGGAGACGUGACGUGGGUUCGAAUCCUACUCCCUCCGCCA